rnacentral:rRNA from 1 species
UACGUAGGGGGCAAGCGUUGUCCGGAAUUAUUGGGCGUAAAGAGCGUGUAGGCGGUCCGGUAAGUCAGCUGUGAAAGUCAAGGGCUCAACCCUUGAAUGCCGCUGGAAACUGUCUGGCUAGAGUCCGGGAGGGGCGAGUGGAAUUCCUGGUGUAGCGGUGAAAUGCGCAGAGAUCAGGAGGAACACCCGUAGCGAAGGCGGCACUCUGGGCCGAUACUGACACUGAGGAGCGAAAGCGUGGGGAGCGAACAGG